rnacentral:rRNA from 1 species
CUCCGUAGGUGAACCUGCGGAGGGAUCAUUACACAAAUAUGAAGGCGGGCUGGAACCUCUCGGGGUUACAGCCUUGCUGAAUUAUUCACCCUUGUCUUUUGCGUACUUCUUGUUUCCUUGGUGGGUUCGCCCACCACUAGGACAAACAUAAACCUUUUGUAAUUGCAAUCAGCGUCAGUAACAAAUUAAUAAUUACAACUUUCAACAACGGAUCUCUUGGUUCUGGCAUCGAUGAAGAACGCAGCGAAAUGCGAUAAGUAGUGUGAAUUGCAGAAUUCAGUGAAUCAUCGAAUCUUUGAACGCACAUUGCGCCCUUUGGUAUUCCAAAGGGCAUGCCUGUUCGAGCGUCAUUUGUACCCUCAAGCUUUGCUUGGUGUUGGGCGUCUUGUCUCUAGCUUUGCUGGAGACUCGCCUUAAAGUAAUUGGCAGCCGGCCUACUGGUUUCGGAGCGCAGCACAAGUCGCACUCUCUAUCAGCAAAGGUCUAGCAUCCAUUAAGCCUUUUUUUCAACUUUUGACCUCGGAUCAGGUAGGGAUACCCGCUGAACUUAAGCAUAUCAAUAA